UACGUAGGCAGCGAGCGUUGUUCGGAGUUACUGGGCGUAAAGGGCUCGUAGGCGGCCAACUAAGUCGGAUGUGAAAUCCCCAGGCUCAACUUGGAACUGCAUCCGAUACUGGAUGGCUUGAAUUCGGGAGAGGGAUGGCAGAAUUCCAGGGUGUAGCGGUGAAAUUCGUAGAUAUGGGAGGAACACCGGUGGCGAAGGCGGCCACCUGGACGGAUACUGACGCUGAGACGCGAAGCGUGGUAGCAACAGAUUGAGAUA
rnacentral:rRNA from 1 species